rnacentral:rRNA from 1 species
UGGGGAAUAUUGGGCAAUGGAGGGAACUCUGACCCAGCCAUGCCGCGUGCAGGAUGAAGGCGUUAUGCGUUGUAAACUGCUUUUAUAUAGGAAGAAAUAGUCCUUGCGAGGAAAGUUGACGGUACUAUAUGAAUAAGCACCGGCUAACUCCGUGCCAGCAGCCGCGGUAAUACGGAGGGUGCAAGCGUUGUCCGGAUUUAUUGGGUUUAAAGGGUGCGUAGGCGGUUUAUUAAGUCAGUGGUGAAAGACGGUCGCUCAACGAUUGCAGUGCCAUUGAUACUGGUAGACUUGAGUAUGAUUGAGGUAGCUGGAAUGGAUAGUGUAGCGGUGAAAUGCAUAGAUAUUAUCCAGAACACCAAUUGCGUAGGCAAGUUACUAAGUCAUAACUGACGCUGAGGCACGAAAGUGUGGGUAUCAAACAGGAUUAGAUACCCUAGUAGUCCCUGAGCGGGCUGGCAAGGCGCAU